rnacentral:rRNA from 1 species
UACGUAGGGAGCAAGCGUUGUUCGGAUUUACUGGGCGUAAAGGGCGCGUAGGCGGCGCGGUAAGUCACUUGUGAAAUCUCUGAGCUUAACUCAGAACGGCCAAGUGAUACUGCAGUGCUAGAGUGCAGAAAGGGCAAUCGGAAUUCUUGGUGUAGCGGUGAAAUGCGUAGAUAUCAAGAGGAACACCUGAGGCGAAGGCGGGUUGCUAGGCUGACACUGACGCUGAGGCGCGAAAGCCAGGGGGAGCAAACGGGG